AUCCAGCUGACGAGUCUCAAAUAGGACGAAAUGCGCAUCCUGGAU
rfam:Trichobilharzia regenti genome assembly, scaffold: TRE_scaffold0074106